rnacentral:rRNA from 1 species
UACGUAGGGUGCAAGCGUUAAUCGGAAUUACUGGGCGUAAAGCGUGCGCAGGCGGUUAUGUAAAGACAGGUGUGAAAUCCCCGGGCUUAACCUGGGAACUGCAUUUGUGACUGCAUAGCUAGAGUACGGUAGAGGGGGAUGGAAUUCCGCGUGUAGCAGUGAAAUGCGUAGAUAUGCGGAGGAACACCGAUGGCGAAGGCAAUCCCUGGGCCUGCACUGACGCUCAUGCACGAAAGCGUGGGGAGCAAACAGG